rnacentral:tRNA from 1 species
UAGCCUAAUGGUUAAGGCUACGGAUCGCCAAUCCGGAGACGGCGGAUUCGAUUCCCGU